UACGUAGGGUGCAAGCGUUGUCCGGAAUUAUUGGGCGUAAAGAGCUUGUAGGCGGUUUGUCGCGUCUGCUGUGAAAUUUCGGGGCUCAACCCCGAACUUGCAGUGGGUACGGGCAGACUAGAGUGUGGUAGGGGAGACUGGAAUUCCCGGUGUAGUGGUGAAAUGCGUAGAGAUCGGGAGGAACACCAGAGGCGAAAGCGGUUAACUGGGUCUAAACUGACGCUGAGGCGCGAAGGCUAGGGGAGCAAACAGG
rnacentral:rRNA from 1 species